UACACGCUGUGACUAGCAUAUCAAUAAGCGGAGGAAAAGAAACUAACAAGGAUUCCCCUAGUAACGGCGAGUGAAGCGGGAAGAGCUCAAAUUUGAAAUCUUAAAGGGUUUCCCUUUACGAAUUGUAGUUUAAAGAAGUGUUUUCUGUUGAGGUUUUGGUAAAAGUUCUUUGGAAUAGGACAUCAUAGAGGGUGAGAAUCCCGUAUUUGACCUUUACUUUCAACUUUGUGAUACACUUUCAAAGAGUCGGAUUGUUUGGGAAUGCAGUCCAAAAUGGGUGGUAAAUUUCAUCUAAAGCUAAAUAUUGGCGAGAGACCGAUAGCGAACAAGUACCGUGAGGGAAAGAUGAAAAGAACCUUGAAAAGAGAGUUAAACAGUACGUGAAAUUGUCAAAAGGGAAGCGUUUGACACCAGUGUUGUUUUUCUGAAAAUCAAUUAAAGAACUGUUUAUGCUAAGCUGUUUAGACUUUAUCAGCUAUCUGUUUAGUUUUGAGCUUUUCUUUAAUGCACCUUUCAGUUAACAAGUCAACAUCAAUUUCUUUUGCUGUAAAAAAGCUUGAGGAAGGUGGCUUGAGAUUCGUCUUAAGUGUUUAUAGCCUCUUGCCUAUGCAGUCGGAGAGAUUGAGGUCUGCAGCGUAGAUCCUUCGGGGCUAAAUGCAUUUGUGCUAAGUUAUAGCAUUUUAUAGACAACUUGUUGACUAUGAUUUGUCUUGUAGCUUACUCGCUUAUGUUAUUUUACCUACGCUUAGGAUGUUGACGAGACUGUCGAUCUCAUCUAUACAUGACCCUGUGCAUAUCAAUAAGCGGAGGAAAAGUUCAUGCGGAAGGCUGACCGUAAGUACCUACGCUUAGGAUGUUGAGUCGUAGAGCACGCAG
rnacentral:rRNA from 1 species